rnacentral:tRNA from 1 species
GAGGCACGAGUAACGCAUUGCAUCGCCUUGUCGAGGCGAAGGCUCGGGUUAGAUUCCCGAGUGUCUCU